UCUCUCUUUCUCUUUUUCGUUUUCUUCUUUACUGGGUUUCUAUUUGCUUUCUAUCAUCAUCUUCUUGGUAGCUGAGAAAUUUGGGAUAUGUAAUCGGGAUAAAAUAUUUCAGUUGGAUUUUAUUGGUUGCCAGAAAACAUAAAAGUAUUGUAACUUGUAACUGUGUAAGUUUUAUUGGUUCCAAGGAACCAGCUUACUCUUGUGGUCUUCUCUAUUUUCCAGUUUGGCAGAUGAACAGGGUUUUUAGAUGAUUCCUACCCCGUUCAGAUAAUCAGGGAAAUGAUGUAAAUCUGAGUGAGUACGGUGGCAAGGUUCUUCUGAUUGUGAAUGUUGCUUCAAAAUGGUAAUUAACUUACUCUGUUGUGUAUUUGUAUUUGGUAACCUCUACUUUUGCAAUAUAAGGUAGAGAUUUGGUACUUGCAAAAGUCUGAUUUUGUGAUGGUAUGAUAGGUAUGUUAUGCUUUCUAAGGAUUCAUAAUGUUGUAAUUAGAUGAUUACAAGUUUAUAGCUUUCAUAAUGUAUAUAUGUAACCCUUGCUGUGUCAAUGAUUAUUACAUUUGAAUCCUCAUAUU